rfam:Picea glauca, whole genome shotgun sequence.
AGGGUGCUAGCUCAAUGGAAGAGAACCUGCCUUACAAGCAGGAGGUUGGUGGUUCGAUUCCUCCGUGCCCUA